rnacentral:lncRNA from 10 species
CCUGCCACCACCUAAGACAUACCUUUGCUCUUCCUUCGUCUUCCACCAUGACUGUGCGGCCUCCCCAGCCAUGUGGAACUGGUGAAUUUGGGUUGGGCAAAUACCCAGGAGAGUGACCAAUGGCAAGACAAGACAAUGAGAGAGGCCGUGAGCUCCAGGGUGAAAGACUGAAGGCUCUUCCUCCAAGAUCAGGAACAAGACAAAGAGACCUGCUUCUACCACUGCUAUUUAACAUUGUACUGGAGGUGCUAGCCAGAACCUUUAGAAAAAAAAAAAGAAAAGAAAAGAAUUAAAAGCAUCCAGAGAGAAAAGGAGGAGGAAGAAGAGGAGGAGGAGGUGAAACUGAUGAUAAAAACCCAUCCAAGAAUGUAAAUGUGACAUCUGCAGCAGGUUCAAAUCUAAGCUAUAAGACAAACGGAAUCCUUCGUAAGGACUGUCAUCUAUUAUGCACAGAGAGCCGAAAUCCAUUACUGAAAUUCUCUUGGUGAGCCACCUGAUGGGCCCAGUGACGUACUAGUACACACAGGAGUUGAAACAAAAAAAAGUCUGGCAUAUUCUUUGGAUGACUGGCAGAGUGUGACACCAAUAUGGUACCCAGCCCUACUAUCAUUACAAGGACUUCAUGACCAAAAAAAUAAUAGAGAAUUGUUUUGGUGGUUAAAACAAUUAAAAGCAUCCAAAUUGGAAAGGAAGAGGUAAAAGCAUCUCUAUUCACAGAAACAUAAUCUUAUUUAUAGAAAACACUAAACCUUCCACACACACACACCCCAAAUAAAACACCUGUUAGAAUUAACAAACAAGGCCGGGCGCAGUGGCUCACGCCUGUAAUCCCAGCACUUUGAGAGGUCGAGGUGAGUGAAUCACCUGAGGUCAGGAGUUCAAGACCAGUCUGGCCAACAUGGCAAAACCCCGUCUCUACUAUAUACAAAAAAUUAGCGGGGUGUGGUGGUACGCACCUGUAAUCAAAGCUACUCAGGAGAUGAAGGCAGGAGGAUCGCUUGAACCUGGGAGACAGAGGUUGCAGUGAGCCGAGAUUGCACCACUGCACUCCAGCCUGGGCGACAGAGUGAGGGUCUGUCUCAGAAAAAAAAAGAAUUAACAAAAAAUUCAGCAAAGUUGCAAAGUGUGAAAUUGACACUCAAAACUCUAUUGCAUUUCUACACACUAACAAACCAUGGGCAACACAGUGACCUCACCCUGUGUCACAGGGCCAGGUACACAGAGGUACUGAGUAAACAUUUUAGUUUUCAUUAAGUGGAUAAAUAAAACCAAAACCUAUUAUUUACCACUCUCCUUUAACACCUCUCUAAAAGCAGAAAGAGAUACCUCCAUGAGGGACUUUGUGACACUUUGGGCAAAACUAAUGCUGGCACUAGUUUGGAUGCAUCAGCGAAUGCUGGACUUCUCACGUUGAGGAUUCUCCAGGUGCCCUCCUUGGGCUCAUUUCUUCCAUGGAGAUAAAAGAGAACAGGGUUUUUUGGGGUUUUGGUUUUGGGUGUUUUUUUUUUCCAGAGACAAGGUCUCAACUAUGUUCCCCAGGCUGGAUGAACUUGGGCUCAAGCAAUCAUCUGGCCUCUGCCUCCAGAGUAGCUGGGACUACAGGCAUGCACCACCACCAUAGCCAGCUGUUUUUUUUUUUUUUUUUUUUUUUUUUACAUAAAUCCUUUCUAUAAUAAACAUUGUCCCUGUGACAGCUAGCGCUCCUCAGUGUUGUCAACUAAGGGCUCACAUACGAGCCCCAUCCAGCCUGUCAUCUCACAUACUGCAUGAAUCCAUUUAUACAAAAUAUCCAGAAGAGACAAAUUCGUAGAGAUAGAAGACUAGUGGUUGCUGGAGGCUGAGAGAAGGAGAAAAAGAGGCGUGACUCCUUCAUGGAUACACGGUUCCUUUAGGGUGAUGCGAUUGUUUGGAAAUAGUGGUAAUGGUUGCACAACAUUGUGAAAGCACUCACUGCCUCUGACUUGUACAUUUUUAGAAACUUAAUUUGACAUUAUGUGAAUUUUACCUCAAAAAAAAAUGCCAUUCUGGACAUAAGGCAGUACCAGCUUUGCCCUAACUCGUCUUCACACAGCACUGCCCACCUUACCGCCCUCUGCGUUCUUCACAGUGUUCUAACCCAACUCCCUUCAGAGCUCUACUGAGAUAUCACCUUCUUAGGGCAGCCUCACAUACCAUUCUCUCUAAAAUAGCAUCAGCCAUCACCCUAUGCCUUCAUAAUAUGUUUCUUCGUCAUAGAACUAUUGCCACUGGAACUAUCCCUAUUUCUUUCAUUUUUGGUGGUUUCUUUUUUGAGCUAGAAGCUCACUCCAUCACCAAGGCUGGAGUGCAAUGGUACAAUCAUGGCUUGCUGCAGCCUCCAUGCUUGGGCUUAGGUGAUCCUCCUGCCUCAGCCUCCUGAGUACCUAGGCAGGUGCCACCACACCUAGCUAACUUUUUAAUUUUUUGUAGAGAUGGGGUCUCACUCUGUUUCCCAGGCUGGUGUCAAACUCCUGGCCUCAAACAAUCCUCCCAUCUUGGCCUCCCCAAAUCCUGAGAUUGCAGGUAUGGGCCACCAUGCCUGGCCUUUUAUCUUUUUAAUUUUUGAAAUGACCAAUAGAAUUUGAGAUGAUGGAAUUAACAUCUUGGUUCAGUGCUGGGUCCUCAGAUCCCAAAUAGCAGCAGGCACACCGUACUUUCUCAGCAAAUGGCUACUAACUUAAUUAACCAAACUAAUUAAAGGAGGAAAGUCAUAUGAUUUUAUACAUAUAUAAUUAUGAAUAAAGAAUUUGAUGAAAUACCUUCAGCAGAAAUUUCUAAUAUGAAAGUAUGACUAAGUAAAAUAGGAUUUUUAAAACCUUUA